UACGGAGGGGCCUAGCGUUGUUCGGAAUUACUGGGCGUAAAGCGCGCGUAGGCGGAUUUGUAAGUCGGGGGUGAAAUCCCGGGGCUCAACCUCGGAACUGCCUUCGAUACUGCAAAUCUCGAGUCCGGAAGAGGUGAGUGGAAUUCCUAGUGUAGAGGUGAAAUUCGUAGAUAUUAGGAAGAACACCAGUGGCGAAGGCGGCUCACUGGUCCGGUACUGACGCUGAGGCGCGAAAGUGUGGGGAGCAAACAGG
rnacentral:rRNA from 1 species